rnacentral:tRNA from 1 species
GCCCUCUUAGUCCAAUCUGGCAGAGACAAUAGACUUAAAAUCUAUCAAGUGUGGGUCCGAAUCCCACAGAGGGUA